rnacentral:rRNA from 1 species
UACGUAGGGGGCGAGCGUUGUCCGGAUUUACUGGGCGUAAAGGGCUCGUAGGCGGCCAACUAAGUCGGAUGUGAAAUCCCCAGGCUCAACCUGGGAACUGCAUCCGAUACUGGAUGGCUUGAAUUCGGGAGAGGGAUGCAGAAUUCCAGGUGUAGCGGUGAAAUGCGUAGAUAUCUGGAGGAAUACCGGUGGCGAAGGCGGCAUCCUGGACCGACAUUGACGCUGAGGAGCGAAAGCCAGGGGAGCAAACGGG